rnacentral:rRNA from 1 species
AGCAGCCGCGGUAAUUCCAGCUCCAAUAGCGUAUAUUAAAGUUGUUGCAGUUAAAAAGCUCGUAGUUGAAUUUCGGGAUCAAUUCGUCGGUCGUGCUUUUGGUACGUACUGGUGUUUAUUGGUUUCUCCCUUCUGACGAACCAUGAUGUCAUUAAUUUGGUGUUAUGGGGAGUUAGGACUGUUACUUUGAAAAAAUUAGAGUGUUUAAAGCAGGCAUUAGCUUGAAUACAUUAGCAUGGAAUAAUGAAAUAGGACGUUCGAUCCUAUUUUGUUGGUUUCUAGGAUCAACGUAAUGAUUAAUAGGGAUAGUUGGGGGCAUUAGUAUUCAAUUGUCAGAGGUGAAAUUCUUGGAUUUAUUGAAGACUAACUACUGCGAAAGCAUUUGCCAAGGAUGUUUUCAUUAAUCAAGAACGAAAGUUAGGGGAUCGAAGACGAUCAGAUACCGUCGUAGUCUUAACCAUAAACUAUGCCGACUAGGGAUCGGAUGAUGUUAAUUUUUUUAAUGACUCAUUCGGCGCCU